UUGUAGUCCAAGUGAAGAGAGAGAGCAAAGUUUGAUGAUUAGACUGAGCAAAUUUCCACAGAGAGUAAAUACAAGAUGGUGAUCGAUUAAUUUGAAACAAUCGAUUCAAUUAAUCGAAAGGAAAACCAAAAAAAACAUCUAGAGAGAAAAAGAGAGAGACGGUAAAUGGUUAAAAGAAAUUCUCUAUGAGUCUAUGCCAUAGACUCUAUGGAAACAACCAGAUGAUUUAUUGAGGUAAUAAUUUAACUUUUCUCUGUUCAAAGUUACAACUCUAAAUAUCCUCAAUAGCAACAGGUAAUUUUGAAGGUUAUCUUAGAUUAACAAUUUGUGAUAAUCGUUAGUAAUCUUUGAUCGACAAUAAAAAGAUUGAUAUCUUACAUUAUCUCAUCUCAUCAUGAAAUCAUGAAAGAAAAACAAGAUUAUUUAGGAUUAAAGUCUUCAUGUUAACCAUUGACGUUGAUCGAUACCAACACACUGGUGAUGAAUUGGCGUAACACAAACGUAACAAAUCGUAAUUGUGAUUAAAAUCUACAUUAAAGUAAACACAAUUAACACUAAUUAACCAUAAAAUCAAUUAACCAAAUUAAAUGUUAUUUUUAGUCAAAAGUAAAAAACGAUUUAAAUCAAUUGAAAA